AGAAUCAACGCUGGCGGCGUGCCUAACACAUGCAAGUCGUACGCGAAAGGGGAGCAAUCCCUGAGUAGAGUGGCAAACGGGUGAGUAACACGUGGGUGACCUGCCUCAGAGUGGGGGAUAACGUCCCGAAAGGGACGCUAAUACCGCAUAACAUCCUGCCCUUGGAAGGGUGGAGAUCAAAGCCGGGGAUCGCAAGACCUGGCGCUUGGAGAGGGGCCCGCGUCUGAUUAGCUAGUUGGUAGGGUAAUGGCCUACCAAGGCGACGAUCAGUA
rnacentral:rRNA from 1 species